GACGUAGGGCGCGAGCGUUGUCCGGAUUUAUUGGGCGUAAAGAGCUCGUAGGCGGUUUGUCGCGUCGUUCGUGAAAACUCACAGCUUAACUGUGAGCUUGCGGUCGAUACGGGCAGGCUAGAGUUCGGUAGGGGAGACUGGAAUUCCUGGUGUAGCGGUGAAAUGCGCAGAUAUCAGGAGGAACACCGAUGGCGAAGGCAGGUCUCUGGGCAUUAACUGACGCUGAGGAGCGAAAGCAUGGGGAGCGAACAGG
rnacentral:rRNA from 1 species